rnacentral:lncRNA from 1 species
UCCAGAGCCCUCCCAGCCGGGGAGGGUGGGGCGGUCUGCUCAGCAACUGCCCGUCACAACUGCUGGGAGGCCAAGAUCUCAGGGUUCUCGUAGCAGUAGGCCUCUUUGGUGGUGGCCUUCGGGGGGCUGCAGACGUUGCAGGGGCAGCAGCGGGUCACCAGGCGGUCCCAGGGCUCCAGAGAAUGGAGCCAGACGGGGAGCCAGGCCCAGGAGCGCAGGCGGACAGGCAGCCAGGCCGGCCGGCGCCGCUGCAGGACAGUAACCAGGAUGACGAGGAGCACCAGCCCCACCAGGGGACCCCCGACAGCGGCCAGCUCCAUGCCCCCUGCCAGGGAGAGCCCGAAGGCCGCCAGGGGCAGCAGCAGGAAUCCGAGCAGCAGAAGGAGCGCCAAGUCUGAAGUUCAUCCUGCUUCACGGAUGAGAUGGCCGUCUGGGAGGCGGGCUGUGGCCAGAUGUGGACAUGUUCCCCAGCACGCCUCCCGCACGCUCCUGGGAGCUGCAGUCCAGCCCAGCACCCCCGAGCACUGACUGCAUCACUGCUGCCCUCAAGGGGGACCUGCGGGGGAAGCACCUUCCGACCUGGCUCUGCCUGUGCCUCCUGCCAAGAGACCCCGUCUCCUCAGUCCCCAGUGUGCUGAGCCUGCACAGUCCAGGCCCUGCGGGGAGGAGGCACAGGGCCACAGGAGGGGAGAACAGUGUCACGGGCCCCUCCAGGGGCUGCCGGACUUGGAGGAGUCCACACACAGGUGCAGUCUGGAGGGCUUCCUGCAGGGGGUGGAGCAGGACCCUGCACUGGGAGGGUCUAAGUGGAUAGAGACAGGGCAGAGGCAAGAAGAACGAGCGUGGGUUCCAGGGGGUGCCGCACUUGUCUCUUCCUGUCAGCGGCGGUGCAGCAUGACCCGGAGUUUCGGGAGCUGAACCUGUUGGGCCUCCGGGCAGCAGGCCGCAGACGGGCUGUUUUAGAGGGAGAACCAGCUGGACUAAAUGAGACUGGGGUUGGGGCACAGAGCUGGGGGCUCAGACUGGGGGAAGUGUCCUGGAGGCAGAAUCACAGCCCUGGCAGCGGCAGGGCAGGGCCCAGCAUCGGUGGGACUCGGCCUUUGCAGAUGUGGAAUGGGGGCUGGGAGGGUCGUCCAGAUGGGGACCUGCUGGAGGUGAGUGGCUGCUCCUUGAGGGAGCAGGGGUUGGGGGAAAGCAUCUGAGGGUGCUGGAAUAGAGGGGCUUAGAGCCCCCUGAGAUGCUGGGGGCAGGCCCCCAGGGACACAGCAAAGAGCUGAGAAAAUGUGGAAGUGAGGAGGUCUCAAGGGAGGAGACGCAGGGAGGGUGUGAAAUGUGUGCAGGACCUGUGGGGUCCAAGGAGGCAGAGCAGCAGGGCUGAGGCUGGCGGCCAGGGAAGGGGUCCAGGAAGGCGGGGGCACAGCCAGCCUAGGGCCCCGGGGCUGGUGACACACUCCUGUCUGUGGGGCUGAGAGGAAGCUGGCCAGUUCUGGCAGCGGGGCAGGGUGGACAGUACCUGCAGGGCGCUGAGCAUCCUGUCUGCGGGGCUGGCCAGGGCAGCCAGCAGGGCUGUGGUAGUGGUGCCGAUGUUGGAGCCCAGUAAGAGGGGGUACGCCCGGUCCAGACUGAUCACCCCGACCCCUGGGGGAACUGGGAGUCACCACAGGACCCCAGCCCGAGCCCCCGUUCCCGAGGCCUCUGUCCUGCCUGCUCACCCAUGAGGGGCACGACGGCCGCCGUGAAGACGCUGCUGCUCUGCAGUGCGAAGGUCAGGCCGGCGCCCGCGAGGACGGCCAGGUAGCCGCCGAGCCAGCCCAGCGGGAAGGGGAAGUCUGUGGGGGAUGCCGGGUCAGCCCUGGCCAGCGCCCACAAGGAGGGCCAGGUAGCCCCCGAGUCAGCCUGGUGGGAAGGGGAAGUCUAUGGGGGAUGCUGGGUCAGCCCUGGCCACCGCACCUCCUCCCACGCCCUCACCCGCAUUGAUGACUGUCCUCACGACCUGGGCCACGCGGCCGCGCAGCACAGAGUUGAGCAGCUUGACUAUGAGGACCAGGCAGCCGCAGAGCACCAGCAGGGAGCCGGCCAGCAGGAUGCAGCCCACGGCCAGGUCCGUGAGCUCCGUGCCCGCAAACAGG